UACGUAGGGUGCGAGCGUUAAUCGGAAUUACUGGGCGUAAAGCGUGCGCAGGCGGUUCGUUAAGUCAGAUGUGAAAGCCCCGGGCUCAACCUGGGAACUGCAUUUGAAACUGGCGGGCUUGAGUAUGGCAGAGGGGGGUGGAAUUCCGCGUGUAGCAGUGAAAUGCGUAGAGAUGCGGAGGAACACCGAUGGCGAAGGCAGCCCCCUGGGCUAACACUGACGCUCAUGCACGAAAGCGUGGGGAGCAAACAGG
rnacentral:rRNA from 1 species